AACGAGACCUUAACCUGCUAAAUAGCCAGGCUGGCUUUGGCUAGUCGCCGGCUUCUUAGAGGGACUGUCAGCGUCUAGCUGACGGAAGUUUGAGGCAAUAACAGGUCUGUGAUGCCCUUAGAUG
rnacentral:rRNA from 1 species